AAGUCACUGUCCUCUCCAGAUUUUUCAACCAUGCAUCUUAUUACAUUGGCACGCGGUGGAGUCACCUUUUUGUUUUUUUAACUCAGCAUGUUUUUCGCUCAUACUGUUUUUGCUUCUUUAACUCAGCCUCUUUUCUCUUAGCCUCGGUGUAAGACCCGAUCCUGGAUUCCUCAAUCCAACCAGACCGCGGCCUCACUAAAUAAUACAACCCGUUUCAUUUACAUAUUCAAGAUCCAAUGUUAAAUAAUUCUAAGUCUUUUCAGAGUUUUGAGGUUCCAACAUUCUACUAAGGCAAAUAGAUAUUUCAUAGAUAAAAACCAAGGUUCAUACAUCAUUCAUCAUCCUAAUAAAUAGAUCACAUACUAGAAUCGCAUAAGUUCACAAGUUGCACAAUAGGCUACAAUAAUUAUACAAUUUUCCGAAUCAACCCAUUCACCACACAUCUUCCCAUGGCCGCGGUCCUCAUGGUGCUUUUCCCUUACCACGGUCCAUUUCUGGUCCUGGAUUCAACACAGACAGACAUAC
rnacentral:lncRNA from 1 species